AAUUGAAGAGUUUGAUCAUGGCUCAGAUUGAACGCUGGCGGCAGGCCUAACACAUGCAAGUCGAGCGGAAACGGCAGYAUUGAAGCUUCGGUGGAUUURCUGGACGUCGAGCGGCGGACGGGUGAGUAACGGCUGGGAACCUGCCCUGACGAGGGGGAUAACCGUUGGAAACGACGGCUAAUACCGCAUAAUGUCUUGRYUCGUUAGAGUCAGGACCAAAGGUGGCCUCUACAUGUAAGCUAUCGCGUUGGGAUGGGCCCAGUUAGGAUUAGCUAGUUGGUAAGGUAAUGGCUUACCAAGGCRACGAUCCUUAGCUGGUUUGAGAGGAUGAUCAGCCACACUGGGACUGAGACACGGCCCAGACUCCUACGGGAGGCAGCAGUGGGGAAUAUUGCACAAUGGGGGAGACCCUGAUGCAGCCAUGCCGCGUGUGUGAAGAAGGCCUUCGGGUUGUAAAGCACUUUCAGCAGUGAGGAAGGUGGUGUACUUAAUAMGUGCAYGGCUUGACGUUAGCUGCAGAAGAAGCACCGGCUAACUCCGUGCCAGCAGCCGCGGUAAUACGGAGGGUGCGAGCGUUAAUCGGAAUUACUGGGCGUAAAGCGCAUGCAGGCGGUUUGUUAAGUCAGAUGUGAAAGCCCGGGGCUCAACCUCGGAACCGCAUUUGAAACUGGCAGGCUAGAGUCUUGUAGAGGGGGGUAGAAUUUCAGGUGUAGCGGUGAAAUGCGUAGAGAUCUGAAGGAAUACCAGUGGCGAAGGCGGCCCCCUGGACAAAGACUGACGCUCAGAUGCGAAAGCGUGGGUAGCAAACAGGAUUAGAUACCCUGGUAGUCCACGCCGUAAACGCUGUCUACUUGGAGGUUGAGGUUUAGACUUUGGCUUUCGGCGCUAACGCAUUAAGUAGACCGCCUGGGGAGUACGGCCGCAAGGUUAAAACUCAAAUGAAUUGACGGGGGCCCGCACAAGCGGUGGAGCAUGUGGUUUAAUUCGAUGCAACGCGAAGAACCUUACCUACUCUUGACAUCCAGAGUCCACGCCGUAAACGCUGUCUACUUGGAGGUUGAGGUUUAGACUUUGGCUUUCGGCGCUAACGCAUUAAGUAGACCGCCUGGGGAGUACGGCCGCAAGGUUAAAACUCAAAUGAAUUGACGGGGGCCCGCACAAGCGGUGGAGCAUGUGGUUUAAUUCGAUGCAACGCGAAGAACCUUACCUACUCUUGACAUCCAGWGAACUUUCCAGAGAUGGAUUGGUGCCUUCGGGAACACUGAGACAGGUGCUGCAUGGCUGUCGUCAGCUCGUGUUGUGAAAUGUUGGGUUAAGUCCCGCAACGAGCGCAACCCUUAUCCUUGUUUGCCAGCACGUAAUGGUGGGAACUCCAGGGAGACUGCCGGUGAUAAACCGGAGGAAGGUGGGGACGACGUCAAGUCAUCAUGGCCCUUACGAGUAGGGCUACACACGUGCUGCUGAGACAGGUGCUGCAUGGCUGUCGUCAGCUCGUGUUGUGAAAUGUUGGGUUAAGUCCCGCAACGAGCGCAACCCUUAUCCUUGUUUGCCAGCACGUAAUGGUGGGAACUCCAGGGAGACUGCCGGUGAUAAACCGGAGGAAGGUGGGGACGACGUCAAGUCAUCAUGGCCCUUACGAGUAGGGCUACACACGUGCUACAAUGGCAGAUACAGAGGGCAGCGAMGCUGCGAAGURGAGCGAAUCCCUUAAAGUYUGUCGUAGUCCGGAUUGGAGUCUGCAACUCGACUCCAUGAAGUCGGAAUCGCUAGUAAUCGUGGAUCAGAAUGCCACGGUGAAUACGUUCCCGGGCCUUGUACACACCGCCCGUCACACCAUGGGAGUGGGCUGCACCAGAAGUAGAUAGCUUAACCUUCGGGAGGGCGUUUACCACGGUGUGGUUCAUGACUGGGGUGAAGUCGUAACAAGGUAGCCCUAGGGGAACCUGGGGCUGGAUCACCUCCUUAC
rnacentral:rRNA from 1 species